ACCUAUAUCAAAGUGUGUACUGGUCGGUCAGAGUAAUUUGGAGCCACUGCUAUAUAAAGCCUCUCAGAGCCUUCUUCUUCCUCUCAUAUCUCUCUCUCUCUCUCUCUCUCUCUCUCUCUCUCUCUCUCUCUCGUGUGUGUGUGUGUGUGUGUGAAUUUUGGCUGUGUUUAGUUCAGUACAAAGUUUGGAUUUUGGUUGAAAUUAGAGAUGAUGUGACUGAAAAGUUGUGUGUGUAUGACAGGUUGAUGUAAUGGAAAAGGACUGAAGUUUGGAUCCAAACUUUAGAUCUAAACACAGCCUUGAUUGUUGAGGUGCAACCAUUAGGAGCUGAAGCUGCCAGCAUGAUCUGAUGAGUGCUUAUUAGGUGAGGGCAGAAUUGACUGCCAAAACAAAGAUCAGAUCAUGCUGUGCAGUUUCAUCUGCUUGUGGCUGCACAAAAUUAAAGGGCCAGAUUGUAUUCAUAUAUAUAUGUUGGUGUGAGGCUUACAUGCAAAUUUAUAUAUUCUUCUGUGUGCAGAUUUUAAUCUUGCAGGAUCGAUCAAAUCUUAGAUGUUUUGUUUGGGAGCUGAGCAUCCAUGAAUUAAUUGGAGAUCAAAUGAGCAAGAGUCAAGAACUGAGGAUGAAACAGGUGUGAAGAUCACAUGAGCUAGCAAGCCAAGAUCUGAAGAUGAACAGGUGUGAGAGACUAAUAAGGAGUUCUUUCUUUGCAUCAUCAACAUAUAUAAUGAAUGGUUAUUAUCUAAAAAUAUAUAUAUAAUGAAUGGUGUUGUAGGGUGUUCUUGCUAGCUUAGCAUGUUCAGGAGAAGCUAGCUAGCUAUAUGGAGCCAAUUAAUUAUCAUCAGUCUGGAGCAGCCAGCUAGACAAAUCUUGGGUCUGAUCUCUGCAAGCUUUUGAUGCUAGCCAGGAUAAUGAGAAGUAACAAAGUCAUAAAUAAAUACUAAUCUUGCAAAUUUCUCUCUUGUUUUUAUCUCAUACUAUAGUAUACAAGAUUGCAACUUGCAAGGUUUGUGAUAUGCAUGGCGAAGUGAACCGCAGAUAUUUUAUCUUACUGAAAUUAUUACGAGUACCGCCUGAAUGACAUGUGGGACCAGUCCACACUAUCGUCGUCACUACGGAUGUAUUAGUUGGGCAAAUUAUGAUUGUGUAAUUAUAUUACUUUAUCUCUCUUUAGAUAUAUUUUUUGAGACCAGAUUACACUAAUGUAUGACCAGAUUUGACGAUACA